AAGGGCACCACAAGAACGCGUGGAGCAUGUGGCUUAAUUUGACUCAACGCGGGAAAUCUUACCGGGUCCGGACACACUGAGGAUUGACAGGCGAUAGUACAAUCAAAUUUAUUUGUUUGUAUAUAAAUAUGAUAGUCCUUUCAUGAUUAUGUGAUAGGUGGUGCAUGGCCGUUCUUAGUUCGUGGAGUGAUCUGUCUGCUUAAUUGCGUUUCUUAUGAAUUAAUACGAGUUUGUAUUUAGUAUUCUUUUUAUUAAGUUUACUAUUACUUUCUCAAAUACAAUUCUGAAAGCAACGAACGUGACCGCAACCUCUUGUUGCCUUACGAUAUUUAAAAUACUUGUAUUUUAUUAAUCUAAAGGCUUUAAAACUAGAGGGACCGCUGUCUUUACCCUUAAACCAGAGGAAGGAUGCGGCAAUAACAGGUCUGUGAUGCCCUCAGAUGUUCCGGGCUGCACACGUGCUACAAUGAUCAUAGCAGUGAGCAUCUAAUAAUACAUUAAAAUUUCAAAUUUAUUUGUUAUUUUAAUAAAGCCUAUUUCGAAAGUAAAUAGGUAAUCAAUUAAAAGUCGUGAUUUCCAUACAACACAUUUAAAAAAAAAUUAUUGUUUAUAGUUUCAAUUUAUUUUGUUUCUAUUCCUUUAAUUUUUUUGUGUUAUUAAUUAAUUCAAGGUGGGGACAGACCAUUGUUAAUUGUUGGUCUCGUUUUUAACUAGGAAUGCCUUGUACUGGUCUUUGGUUCAUCAGACCACCAGGAAUACGUCCCUGCCCUUUGUACACACCGCCCGU
rnacentral:rRNA from 1 species